GACGAACGCUGGCGGCGUGCUUAACACAUGCAAGUCGAACGGAAAGGCCCUGCUUUUGUGGGGUGCUCGAGUGGCGAACGGGUGAGUAACCCGUGAGUAACCUGCCCUUGACUUUGGGAUAACUUCAGGCAACUGGGGCUAAUACCGGAUAGGAGCUCCUGCUGCAUGGUGGGGGUUGGAAAGUUUCGGCGGUUGGGGAUGGACUCGCGGCCUAUGAGCUUGUUGGUGGGGUAGUGGCAUACCAAGGCCUUGACGGGUAGCCGGCCUGGGCGGGUGACCGGCCACAUUAGGACUGAGAUGCGGCCCAGACUCCUACGGUAGGCAGCAGUGGGGAAUAGUACACAAUGGGCGGAAGCCUGAUGCAGCAACGCCGCGUGCGGGAUGACGGCCUUCGGGUUGUAAACCGCUUUCGCCUGUGACGAAGCGUGAGUGACGGUAAUGGGUAAAGAAGCACCGGCUAACUACGUG
rnacentral:rRNA from 1 species